UUUCUUUUUUUUUUUUUGGUGUGCAUGGGGCUUAGAAAACUCGAGAAGUUUAGAUUGAUGCACUUAACAGGGGCUCACAUUGAACACAAGGACAUAAACCCUAGCUGUCACCCUGGCAUGACAAGGAAAGACCAGUAUCACAGUUUGGAUGUAUGAUCUUUAAAUUUAAGAGAACAAAAAAAAUCAUUGGAAUGUAAUGCAUGGUUGUGUGUGGUUUGUAACUCUUGGUAGGUGACAUUAUUUAUGUCCUCCUCUGCACAAUACCAAUAUUUCAUCAGUUCUCACUUAAAUUUUUUGUUUUGGUCUUCAUUGGUGCUUAUUCUUCUGUUGUGGAUGAAAAAUAAAUGAAAGGAAAAAAUAGAAAAUAGUUUCUCUCAAACUUUUCCCUUCAAACUAAAGGAAGUUGGUUAAAUGGAGGAAAUUGGAGGAAACAAGUAUUGCCCAACAUUUCAGUUCAUCUCCUAAAUAAUACAGAAUUAAGAAAAGCAAUUGGGUUAGGAAAUUUCUGUGAAUCUGAGACUCAAUUGAGUGGUGGGGUUCAUUCAAAUAGAAAAAAUAAAGCAUGGAGAAUUUGCCAACCAGCACUUCUACCCCAAAAAUAGAGGUCAAGACCUCCAUCAAAGAGAAAAAAAUCAUGAAGAAAGUGCAAAACAAAGCUCGCCCAAUUAAAUAGCAUGCUGUACAAAACUAUCCAAAUUUUGCUAUUUUGAUGCCUACUUCCUACUAUAAACAUCUCGAUGUAUAUACAAACAAGUGUAGUAUUUUAACAUAACAAGUAGCCUGUAAAAUAUGUUAUUACAUGCUUUUUUUU